CUGGACCAAAUCAGAAAAUGUUGAGGCUUUCGUGACAAUUGUUUCCCUAUCUAUAGCUGUUCGGGUUUAUUGGUCAUCAAAGUCACACGAAUCAAAUCAGACCUCUGAAACAACAACAAACGUCGACCAAUAAACCCGAACAACUCUAAAAAUGGAAACAAUGGUCACGAAUGCCUCAACCUUAACAUUAUAAGAAUUGUUAGGGAUCAUCCUGUGUAGCUAUAUUUUAGAAAGUUACCACUUGUUAUAGUGAAGCUUCUGAGUUGAGGAAAAUCAAAUGUAGUGAAACGAAAUUUAUUAAUCGUUUAUAACUUCCUGUAUAUUAUACUGUAACUAUCUUUUGAUGUACCCCACGGUAUAUAUAGCUUGAGUCAAUCGUCAUAGGAGCAACCACGUGGAGGAGUCGAGGAAUUUGGUUAAUUAAUCAGUUUUUUCCUUCGUCAUCUCCUGGGACUGCUAUAUUUGGCCUGGACAUAUUUGAAAGAAAACAAAAAAAUCAAGGACUACGUAUUAGUGCAUAAGACUUUAGUGACUAAGAGUCGUGUUUCUAUGGAACCCAUCCCAUCUGAAAAACUCAUGGUGCCCUAAAUUAAAAAUACGGAGGGAAUGGCAAUAACAUACGUAUCAAGCUGAAGGUUUUAAAAAAGAAUUUAUAGAAGCGAUGCCUUAAUGCUGUUUUUGCAAUUUAUGCAAACUGCAAAGUAAAUUAUUGAAGUACUAUAACAAGCUCCUCCGAAAUUUAAUGGACCAUUGCCACAAGAAGAUUAAGGUGUGAAGUCUUUUUAUACAUUAUAUUAAUUGAAGAGAUACUGAGAACAGUCAGUGGCCGGAAGAAUAUAUUAAUAUCUGUGUAUCAGAUAUUGAAAAUGUCGCACCACAACUGAUAUUUAAAAUAAUAAGUCAUGUGUGUUACUUAAAAUAAGUAAUACAAUAAGCAUAUAAUUAUUAUUUCUGUUAAAUUUCUAUUAAAAUUUAUAUAUUAUUGGGUAUAUUAUAGGUAUAUAAUUUGUUGUUGUCAAAAAUAAGGUUUAUAACCUACUGCUCCACAAACAUUAGGGUUAUUAA